rnacentral:rRNA from 1 species
ACCUGGUUGAUCCUGCCAGUAGUCAUAUGCUUGUCUCAAAGAUUAAGCCAUGCAUGUCUAAGUACAGACCGAUUUACACGGUGAAACCGCGAAUGGCUCAUUAAAUCAGUUAUGGUUCAUUGGAUCUUACCCAAGUUACUUGGAUAACUGUGGUAAUUCUAGAGCUAAUACAUGCAACCAAGCCUCCGACCGCAAGGGAGAGCGUCUUUUAUAGAUACAAAACCAGUCGGGCUUCGGUCCGUUCCUAUGUGAUGACUCUGAAUAACUUGAGCUGAGCGCACGGUCUCCGCACCGGCGCCGCAUUCUUCUAAGUGUCUGCCUUAUCAGCUUUCGAUUGUAGGUUAUGCGCCUACAAUGGCUAUAACGGUAACGGGGAAGUCAGGGUUCGAUUCCGGAGAGGGAGGCCUGAGAAACGGCUACCACAUCUAAGGAAGGCAGCAGGCACGCAAAUUACCCACUCCCGGCACGGGGAGGUAGUGACGAAAAAUAACGAUGCGGGACUCUUCCGAGGCUUCGCAAUCGGAAUGAAUGAACUUUAAAUCCUUUCUUGAGGAUCCAUUGGAGGGCAAGUCUGGUGCCAGCAGCCGCGGUAAUUCCAGCUCCAAUAGCGUAUAUUAAAGUUGUUGCGGUUAAAAGCUCGUAGUUGGAUCUCAGUUCCGGAACGACGGUGCGCCCUCGGCGUAUUUACUGUCGUUCUGAACAG